rnacentral:tRNA from 2 species
UUUCAGACCGGGGCUAUCAACCACUCAGCCAUCUCUCC